UACGUAGGGGGCAAGCGUUGUCCGGAUUUAUUGGGCGUAAAGAGCUCGUAGGCGGUUGGGCAAGUCACGUGUGAAAUCUCCACGCUCAACGUGGAGGCGCCACGUGAGACUGCCCUGACUCGAGUCCGGUAGGGGAGCGUGGAAUUCCCGGUGUAGCGGUGAAAUGCGCAGAGAUCGGGAGGAACACCAAUAGCGAAGGCAGCUCGCUGGGACGGUAUUGACGCUAAGGCGCGAAAGCGUGGGGAGCAAACAGG
rnacentral:rRNA from 1 species